UUUAUUUAUUUAUUUAUUUAUUUGCCUUUUUUAACCCUUAAAUUCGUCUCAAAGGGAUAUAUUUUGGGAGAUUUUAAUGGAAUCCACAUCAAUUUGAAACUUUUAGCAUUCUUGAAAGUAAUAAGUGUUUGGGUGAAUUCUUUUUAGCUAGUGAACACAAACGUGCGUCCUUUAUGGUAUCAUAUACUUGAUUUGUAAUACGGAUUUGAUUUGUGGCUCUAUGAGUUUUCUGUUAAUUAUUGUAUGAACUGAGGUGUUUCUUGUUGUCUUGGCAAUUGUAUGAUGACAAUUUUCUUAACUAGUGUUGCUUUACAUGUUAAUACUUAACUAUUUGAAGACUCUUUUUGUUGUUGCAGUUGCUAAGGCCUAUUAAGAAGGUUGGAACAGAGGCGUUUGUUGUUGCAAUUUUUAUUUUAGUGUUGUUUGCUUUGUACUAUUGUAGCAUAAUCACAAUCCAUAAAAUGAUUUCAGCAUGAUUAUAGUCAUGAUAUGUUUCUGUGAAUUAGUUGGAAGUUUAAGGUCUAGUUUUUUAAUUAAUUUAUUUUCAAUUUCAGGUUGCAUUACCACAAAGGAGCUU
rnacentral:misc_RNA from 1 species